rnacentral:rRNA from 1 species
UACGUAGGGGGCAAGCGUUGUCCGGAAUUAUUGGGCGUAAAGAGCGUGUAGGCGGUCCGGUAAGUCAGCUGUGAAAGUCAAGGGCUCAACCCUUGAAAGCCGGUUGAUACUGUCGGGCUAGAGUCCGGAAGAGGCGAGUGGAAUUCCCGGUGUAGCGGUGAAAUGCGCAGAUAUCAGGAGGAACACCAAUAGCGAAGGCAGCUCGCUGGGACGGUAUUGACGCUAAGGCGCGAAAGCGUGGGGAGCAAACAGG